UUGAUACUGAAGAGCUUGAAUAUAGUUGAGGUAGGCGGAAUGUGCAGUGUAGCGGUGAAAUGCUUAUAUAUUGCACAGAACACCGAUUGCGAAGGCAGCUUACUAAAUUAUUAUUGACGCUGAGGGACGAAAGCGUGGGGAUCGAACAGGAUUAGAUACCCUGGUAGUCCACGCCGUAAACUAUGUUCACUCGCUGUUUGCGAUAUACCGUAAGCGGCCAAGCGAAAGCAUUAAGUGAACCACCUGGGGAGUACGUCGGCAACGGUGAAACUCAAAGGAAUUGACGGGGGCCCGCACAAGCGGAGGAACAUGUGGUUUAAUUCGAUGAUACGCGAGGAACCUUACCUGGGCUUAAAUGUAGAUUGCAUGUGGUGGAAACACCCUUCCCUUCGGGGCUAUCUACAAGGUGCUGCAUGGUUGUCGUCAGCUCGUGCCGUGAGGUGUCGGGUUAAGUCCCAUAACGAGCGCAA
rnacentral:rRNA from 1 species